rnacentral:lncRNA from 1 species
UUCCGGCCAUGGUUUAGGUUUAGCUUCAGGUUCAAACUGCUCAGAACAUCAUACUAUUGCAGUCUAGCUUUCCAACUUUUCUUGGUCCAGAGUAACCAGAGAGAAGUGAAGAACUUAACUAGGUAGAUUAGAUGCCCCUUGUGUUGGUGAGAAUAUUUAUUUUUCUUAACCAAGCUCUCAAGAUACCAAGGAAAUAAUGAUUGUUAACCUACAUACAUCAUGUUCACCCAUCUUCUUCACAACCAGUACAUUUUAUUUUUGCAUGUCCAUUGCUCAUUUUAACUUCUGCCAUUUAUUCCUAGGAGCUCAUAUAUAUUUCUUUUCUUUUCUCCUUUCGCAUAUGGUCUCAUUGUUACUUCAAUAAUAGUAUGAUGCAAUCCAAUUCUUUCUCCAAGAGCCAAUGGUUAAGUUUGUACAUUUUUUGUUUUUGAAAGAUGUCCUACCAGCUCUAUUGUCUAUAAAUGGUCCGGUCUAUGAUUUUUGUCGGGGAUUCGCCGCUUCUUUUGGAGGUACGACGUCUACAUUUGUCAGCUGUUCUGCCACGAAUUCUGAUGCACUUUUAAUGUAUCUUGGAUUAAAACGAGCAUGAGAACUUGCCAAGCCAUCUGGAAAUGCCAUCAGAGCCGAAACAUUUUUUAGGUUGCUGACAGCAUUGAGCUGGACUUGCUUUUUAUGCUACUACUGCUGAAGACAAACUCCAGAGAAGGGAGUGAAAGUAGAAAGAAGAGAGGUUGCACAAGAUGAGUAAUGAUGGGUAGCGGUAGAGGCUGAAACUGUGAUGAUGAUGCGGAUCUGACCAUUAGUAUGUUUCCCAUCAAGGAAAUCUACAAUUUCUAUUAUGAUACA